UACGUAGGUGGCAAGCGUUGUCCGGAUUUAUUGGGUUUAAAGGGUGCGUAGGCGGUCUUUUAAGUCAGUGCUGAAAUAUCCCGGCUUAACCGGGAGGGUGGCAUUGAUACUGAAGGACUUGAGUUCAGUCGAGGUAGGCGGAAUUGACGGUGUAGCGGUGAAAUGGCUUAGAUAUCGUCAAGAACACCGAUAGUGUAGACAGCUUACUAGGCUGAAACUGACGCUGAGGCAACGGAAAGUGUGGGGGAUCAAACAGG
rnacentral:rRNA from 1 species